UGCAAAAUUGUUUCUUAACAGCUUGUUUUUGUGGUAGCAAAGAAUUGGGAAAUGGAUAAGCAUCAGGUGGGGAAUGGCUGAACAAGAUAUGAUGGUAUGUGAAGGCAAGGGAAUAUUGGUAUUAUAUAAAAAAAUGAUGAACAAGCUGAUUUUAGCAAGGUCUGGAAUGAUUUACCCGAAAUGAUGUUGGGUGGAGUAAGCAGAAGAAAGAAUAAUUUAUAAAAAAUAACAGUAAGAAUUUGUGAUGGUCAACUAGGAAAGAAUUGAUCUUAGUGCUUUAGUGAUCCAAAGCAAUUCCAAUAGACUAGACAGAAAAUGCCAUCUGCUUUCAGAAAAAGAACCAAAUAGAAAGAAUGUAAAGCAAUAUAUGUUCACUUAUUUUAUUUUCUUUUUCUUUCUCCCAUGGUUCUUCCUUUUGCUCUGAUUUUCUUCUCCCAACAUGAUUCAUAAAGCAAUGCUUAUUAAAAAUAAAUUUGCUAAACACUAAAAAUUAAAAUUAUAUUCAAUUUUUAAUUUUUAAGACACUGUGCAAAUAGGACAACCAAUAUCUUUCCUGUUUAGAGCAUCCAAUUAGUCAGAGAUCUGGAGACCAAGAUUGGCUGGAACUUCACAUUCAAUUAGCAAUUCUUGAUUCUCAAUUUGUGCAUCUUCAUCUAUCUGGUGAACCGGGUGGACUGGUGUUUGCAAUUUUCCUUUGUAAGGGUGGCUGAGCCUCUUCCUGGGGCUUUUGGCUGGAGUCCCUAAAGCCUGGGGCAGGCAAGUGCUGCAGCCUGAGGGAGGAGGGGGCUGACAGGAGGAUGCUGUGGCUUCCUGUUUGAUCUCUCAUGGCAAGCAAGGGAGGUCAUUGGUAAGCCCAGAGACCGGCCUCUUCCAGGGGUAGGGACUGCCCAGGCCUGCCCAGCUACUGGCACCACAGUGAAUGCUGGAGGUUUAUGGGAGCCAUCUCUUCCCCCAAGUUUUCAGGGGAAAUGUGCUGAGAUCGACUGGGGAAGAGGAGAGCCUUGGCCCUUAGUGCAGAUUUCUGCUGGGCAGCAGCCAAGUCUGUGGAGGGCCGACAUUCAGCUUCAAAUGUCAGUUGUGGUGGAAGUAAGGGGUGUUUAAGGGGUCUUUCUCCCAGAAAGGAGCAACUCGACCUCGACUAGGGAAGAUGGUGUCCUUGGCCCAUUGGCAAAAGCUUCUGCUGGGUAGUGAAGACAACUCUGUGCAGGGCACUCAUUCUUCCUUUGAUGUCAGUUGUGUCAGAGUGUGGCUUGGUCAGUGUGAAGGGUCUUUCUCCCUGAAGUGGCAACUAGAUGUCGAUCGUGGAAUACGACGGCCUUUUCCCAUUGGCAGAGGCUUCUGUUGGGCAGGGGAGACAACUCUGUGAAGGGCACAUAUUGUUUUUGGGUCAGUGCGUUUGGAGUGUGGCUUGGUGAAUUUCCAUCAAUUGGGGCAAUUCGACCUCGACUGGGGAAGAGGAGCACCAUGGCCCAUUCAUUGGCACAUGCUCCUGGUGAUCAUUGGAGCAGAAUCCUUGCAGCCCUCACAUCCUCCUUUUGUAAGAGCACAGCACAGAUAAGACUUUUGCCUUCGAGUCUGGGGGGGGUGUCAUUUCCCAAAGAGGGGAAACCCGAUCUUUCCUCAUAUAAACAGCACACUUGGCCCAUUUGGCAGAGACUUCUGUUUUUCAGUGGAGCCAACUCCUUGCAGCCCUCACAAUCAGCCUUUUGUGGAACAAUUGGAGUGUUUGCACUUGAUUUUGGGGUGUCGUUUUCCCACAGAGAAGCAAUCUGGCCUUGCCUUGAGAACAUGGCGGACUGGUCCGUUGGCUCAGGCUCCUGUUAUUUUUUAGUGGAGGCAAGACUGUACAGCCCUCUCAUUGAGGACUGUUAUUUUAAGAGUGUUGGCGGGUACUUUUCCAGCAAAGGAACAACUCGUCUCCUGGGGGCCUUGGCCUGUGGGGAGAGGCUUCGGCCUCCUGACAGUGGGGCCAAGUCUGUGGAUGAAGAAGGCAGCCUAUGAGCCAAGGGAGAGAAAUCAGGAAAUAGAAGAGGGAGGGGGGCAAAGAGAGCAGCACUACAGGGAGCAGAGAUGGACUCAGAGAAGCCUGGCCUUUGGCUUAGAGCUGGACCCUCUCCUACUUGCUAACUUCCUUUUCCUGUCCCUCCUUUUCCUCUUCCUCCUUUCACACAUAGAGAAGCAUAAAGGACAAGUUUGUUUCUUCCUCUUGUUUCAUGUAAAACGGGUAUUUGUGCAGAGCUGUGUGCAAGGAAUCAUCCCCUUAGACUGGGAGCUCCUCCAGGCCAGGGCCUGGCUCAGGCCUUUCUUUGUAUCCUGACAGGCCUCCUUCCCCCCUGCCCCAUCCCCUAGACCAAGGCUGGCUGCAUUGCUCAGGUAGGCGAGAGCCCCUCCUGCCUGGGGCCUUGGUGGAGUCCCUUAAGCCGAUGGGCGACUGAGUCUCCUAUCCAGACUGAGACAGGAGGUGGACAAAUGGGCAGUGACUUCCUGUUUACCCUGACCUGUCCUGGAGCAAUCACCUGCUUUUUCCCUCCCAGUAUCAGGGCAUAUUCGGGAAGAUGGCCUGGAGAACAGGAGGACCUUGGCCCUUUGAGAAAGGCUAACUUUUUGAAGAGGAGCCAGCUCUAUUUGAUUGUUGGCCCCCAUUGCGGCAAUCCGUUUUCUCCUAUUACCCAGUGCAGACUUGGCCCGUUUGUACAGGCUGCUUUUAACUGGUGCCAGCAACUCUUUGCAGCCCUCAUUAGCCAUGGGGCUGUUAGCCCUGGUGUUGGGGGGAUCCCUUUCAAGGAAAGGGGGUACUCCUCGGGGCAGUAAGUUGGCCUUGGCCUGUGGGGAGAGGCUUCAGCGACCUGACAGUGGGGCCAAGUCUGUGGAUGAAAAAGGCAGCCUAUGAGCCAAGGGAGAGAAAUCAGGAAAUAGAAGAGGGUGGGUGGCAAAGACAGCAGCACUACAGGGAGCAGAGAUGGACUCAGAGAAGCUUGGCCUUUGAUUUUAGGGCUGGACCCUCUCCUACUUGAUAACUUCCUUUUCUUGUCCCUCCUUUUCCUCUUUUUCCUUUCACACAUAGAGAAGCAUAAAGGACAAGUUUGUUUCUUCCUCUUGUUUCAUGUAAAACGGGUAUUUGUGCAGAGCUGUGUGCAAGGAAUCAUCCCCUUAGACUGGGAGCUCCUCCAGGCCAGGGCCUGGCUCAGGCCUUUCUUUGUAUCCUGUCAGGCCUCCUUCCCCCCUGCCCCAUCCCCUAGGACCAAGGCUGGCUGCAUUGCUCAGGUAGGCGAGAGCCCCUCCUGCCUGGGGCCUUGGUGGAGUCCCUUAAGCCGAUGGGCGACUGAGUCUCCUAUCCAGACUGAGACAGGAGGUGGACAAAUGGGCAGUGGCUUCCUGGUUCCCCUGGCCUGGCAUGGAGCCAACAUCUACUUUUUCCCUCCCAUUAUCAGGGCAUAUUCGGGAAGAUGGCCUGGAGAACAGGAGGGCCUUGGCCCUUUGGCAGAGGCUCAGUUUUUGAAGAAGAGCCAGCUCUAUUUGAUUGUUGUCUCCCAUCAGGGCAAUCCGAUUUCUCUUGGCUGACUUGACCCUUUUGUAGAGGCUGCUUUUAACUGGCGCCAGUAACUCUUUAGAGUCCUCGUUGCCCAUGGGGCUGUUAGACCUGGUGAUGGGGGGAUCCCUUUCAAGUAAACAGGGUACUCCUUGGGGCAGUAAGUUGGCUUGUGGGGAGAGACUUCAGCGACCCAAUGGUGGGGCAAAGUCUGUGGAUGAAGAAGGCAGCCUAUGAGCCAAGGGAGAGAAAUCAGGAAAUAGAAGAGGGAGGGGGUCAGAGAGAGCAGCACUACAGGGAGCAGAGAUGGACUCAGAGAAGCCUGGCCUUUGGCUUAGAGCUGGACCCUCUCCUACUUGCUAACUUCCUUUUCUUGUCCCUCCUUUUCCUCUUCCUCCUUUCACACAUAGGGAAGCAUAAAGGACAAGUUUGCUCCUUCCUCUGUUUCACAUAAAACGGGUAUUUGUGCAGAGCUGUGUGCAAGGAAUCAUCCCCUUAGACUGGGAGCUCCUCCAGGCCAGGGCCUGGCUCAGGCCUUUCUUUGUAUCCUGACAGGCCUCCUUCCCCCCUGCCCCAUCCCCUAGACCAAGGCUGGCUGCAUUGCUCAGGUAGGCGAGAGCCCCUCCUGCCUGGGGCCUUGGUGGAGUCCCUUAAGCCGAUGGGCGACUGAGUCUCCUAUCCAGACUGAGACAGGAGGUGGACAAAUGGGCAGUGACUUCCUGUUUACCCUGACCUGUCAUGGAGCAAUCACCUGCUUUUUCCCUCCCAGUAUCAGGGCAUAUUCGGGAAGAUGGCCUGGAGAACAGGAGGACCUUGGCCCUUUGAGAAAGGCUAACUUUUUGAAGAGGAGCCAGCUCUAUUUGAUUGUUGGCCCCCAUUGCGGCAAUCCGUUUUCUCCUAUUACCCAGUGCAGACUUGGCCCGUUUGUACAGGCUGCUUUUAACUGGUGCCAGCAACUCUCUGCAGCCCCCCUUAGCCAUGGGGCUGUUAGCCCUGGUGUUGGGGGGAUCCCUUUCAAGGAAAGGGGGUACUCCUCGCGGCAGUAAGUUGACCUAUGGGGAGAGGCUUCAGUGACCUGACCGUGGGGCAAAGUCUGUGGAUGAAAAAGGCAGCCUAUGAGCCAAGGGAGAGAAAUCAGGAAAUAGAAGAGGGUGGGUGGCAAAGACAGCAGCACUACAGGGAGCAGAGAUGGACUCAGAGGUUCCUGAUCUUGGAGUGUAUCUGGGUCCUUUCCAACUAGCUCUAGCUUGUCCUUUUCCUCAUUUCACAUGAAGGGAAGCCCAAGGGACAAGUUUUUUCCUUCCUCUAUUUCAUGUAAAAUGGGUAUUUGUGCAGAGCUGUGUGCAAGGAGUCAUCCCCUUAGACUGGGAGCUCCUCCAGGCCAGGGCCUGCCUUAGGCCUUUCUUUGCACACACUCAGCCCCCCCCCCUUCCUUAUCCCCCAGGCCCAAGGCUGGCUGCAUUGCUCAGGUAGGCUAGCCUGAGUCCCUCCUGCCUGGGGCCUUGGUGGAGUUCCUAAAGCCUAUGGCAGGUGCUCCAGAUUCAAACAGGUGAUUGACAAAGGGAGACUGGUUUCCUGUUUCCCCUCCAUGGCAACCGAGGUCAAUGUUCAUUGGAGUGUUCCAGUUGUGGGCUCCACGCAGGAUCUUCUGUGUGUUCCCUCAGGUGUUUGUGGGAAAUGCUGGGAGAUGGUUUGGGGCAGAUUCUUCUUUUGGGGCCAGUUGGGUCGGAGUGUGGGUUGGUGAAUUUGUGGGGUCCUUCUCUCGUGAAGGGGCAAUUUGACCCGACUGAGGAAGAGGAGUGCCCUGACCCAUUGGCAUAGGCUCCUGGGGAUCCAUAGAGCCAACUCCUUGCAGCCCUCCCUUUCCCUUUUUGUAAGAGCAUAGAGAGGACUGUUUGCCCUGGAUUUUGGGGGGGGCCUUUCCUGAAAGAGGGGCAACCUGACUUUUCUUGGAUAGACAGCAAACUUGGCCAGUUGGCACAGGCUCUAGUGCUCAGUGGAGCCAACUCUGUGCAGCCCUCAUUCAGUUGGACUGUUAUUUCUGACAUUUGGGGGUCCUUUUUACAUAAGGACUCAGCUCGUUGCCUGGAGAACAGUAGGGCCUUGGCCCUUUGGCAGAGGCUCAAUUUUUGAAGAAGAGCCAGCUCUAUUUGAUUGUUGUCUCCCAUCUGGGCAAUCCUAUUUUUCUUUGCUGACUUGACCUGUUUGUACAGGCUGUUUUUAACCGGCGCCAGCAACUCUUUGCAGCCCUCAUUAGCCAUGGGGCUGUUAGCCCUGGUGUUGGGGGAUCCCUUUCAAGGAAAGGAGGGGGGUACUCCUCAGGGCAGUAAGUUGGCCUGUGAGGAGAGGCUUUGGCCGCCUGACGGUGGGGCCAAGUCUGUGGAUGAAGAAGGCAGCCUAUGAGCCAAGGGAGAGAAAUCAGGAAAUAGAAGAGGGUGGGGGGCAAAGAGAGCAGCACUACAGGGAGCAGAGAUAGACUCAGAGAUACCUGGCCUUUGGCUUAGAGCUGGAUCCUCUCCAACUUGCUUACUUCCUUUUCCUGUCCCUCCUUUCACACAUAGGGGAGCAAAAAGGACAAGUUUGUUCCUUCCCCUAUUUCAUGUAAAAGGGGUAUUUGUGCAGAACUGUGUGCAAGGAGUCAUCCCCUUAGACCGGGAGCUCCUCCGGGCCAGGGCCUGGCUGGGAUUUUUCUUUAUAUCCUCCCUGCUUCUUCUUUCCCCUCUGCCCCCAGUCCUUAGUCUAGCGUUCGACCCAUAGUAGAAAAUGAAUGCUUUUGGAUAUUCUUUCUCCUAAGCUCUCUGCACUCUGGUUUCUCUCCUCUUCAUGCAGCUGAGUUUUACUCAUUGAAAUGAAAAGUGACUGAUAACCUCUAUAAUACAAAAACAGUAAGACCACUGUCUAAUUCUGAUCCUUCAGCAUCUCUCUGGCAGCAUUUUUGGGAGUGACUGUCUUUUCUUCUCCUUCAGGAUACUCUCUUUCCAGAGUUUUCACGAUUCUGCUCUCUCUGGCUUCUUUACUGACUGGUGUGUCCUGCUUUUCAUUUAGUCUCUUUUACUGGAUCUUUAUUCAUGUCAUGGAUCCCGGGGGUAACCCCCUUUUGCCUCUGUCACUUGUCAUCUUUUUGCUCUUUUUAUCUCUUAGGAUAUGAUUAGUAUUCUACAUGAAUGCCUGGGAAAUUCAUGAGGUCCCCAUCUCUAGGCCAAACACUCCCAGGUAUAUUGAUGGGGUCUAGUCUGCCUCCUCAGCUGUGCUCCCCAAUUCCCAUAUAACAUUUGUUGCACAUUCUGAAUCGGAUGCCCAGUUUGCAACUGAAUGUCCAUAUGUCCACAACACAUUGCAUAAUCUUGGUCCCUCAAACUCUCCCCUUGUCUGAAAUUCUCAACUCCAGGCACCCAGCUUUGCAGGAUCAGGCACCCCCUACCCUUUUCUCUUACUUGGCCUACCCUUCAUCCAUUUAGUUAUGCAGGUUCUAAGUCCUUGCUCUACAACACUCCUCCCCCACAUGCUUGCUCUCCUUCACUCACCUUGCUAUCAACCUCAUGACCAUGUACACCUCUUUCCUAAAGGACUCCAACUGCUCUAUUAGGAUUAUGCCUUCUCAUGUGCCUGUCUAUCAAUUCUGUAUUUUUCUGGUAGGUUCUAGUUUAUGUAUUUGUUGUCCUCCCAUUUAUGAUGACUUUUUUCUCUUGAACAAAUAUUACUAAAUGUUGGUUGACUGAUUCUCACCCUUGGGAACUAUCCUGUUUCUUCUCCCCAUUCAGCUGCAGAUUUCCUGCGGGAAUAGAUGUCUACAAAUAAAUGCUAAAAACUUAGAUUACAACAAUUAUCCCACCCCCUCAACUAAAGGAGUAGCAGACCCACAAGGCCCUAAUAGCUAAUGUAGCACAUCCCAGGCAUUGCUUUUCAGUGUUUAAUAUGGCUGUGCAGUAAGUAGAGCCUGCCCCAAAAUAAUGGAUGAAAGUGAUCAAUUCUUUCAGGUCCCUUCCCCUAUUAAGUCCUUUCUCCCUUCCAUUUUGCCUCUCGCUUCAUCACUGAAAGAAAUGAAAGGGAGGCAACUGAAAGACUCCGUUGUAUGACCAUAGGAAAACUAAGAGGAUGAAAGAUUAUGGCAAAGUGUCUGUAUAUCCAAAGGAUUUCUCUUUAUAAAGAUGAAAUUCAUUUAUUGACUGUGAUUUCAGGUAGCAUUUUCUUAAUGGAAAGUAAGUAGCUUCUCCCAGACUGCCCAAAUCACAAAAUUUGAGUGUUGUUCCAAUAUUCUUUGAUUUCACCACAUCCUAUGGACCUGUGAGGCUCAUUACAGCCUUGGUUCUGUCCCAGCUUUGAGAAUUCUAUCUUAUUUUUAUUCUCAAAUCCACAAGAGAAAAGGUCCAGGUGUAACCAGAGGGCCAGAAGGAGGAAUUUGAAAGUCCUAACCUAUGGUUCUACCCUGGACAAGCCUUUCUUAACCCUUUCAGUGCCUUGAAGCAAACUAGCUCUCUCAAGAAGAAAUGACAGCUGGGAUACCCAAUGCUGUGAGAAAGGGAUAUUCCAUAUCUACAUUUCAUAUCUACAGACUGGCAGUGUAUGCCGCCAAUUUAAAGAAAUUAAUGAAAUAUAUAAAAUUUUUGAGAUUGUUGAGAAUUAUUUGUUAGGCAUUUAAAAACUGAUUUGAAGACAGGUCAGAUAGACUCCUCCAGUUGUCAGGUCAUUUGUCAGAAAAAGGAUAAGAACUUUGAGCCAAUCUUUCCCCCUCUUUUCUUGUGCAAGGUUCCACAAGUCUCCCAUGGUUCAGGUUGAUCCAUAAACUGGGUGGUGAUAGUGGGGGAGCAUAUUUCUUGGAAGUUCUAUGCAAUUACGGGACCUAGAGGCAGUCUCAGGUUCACAUCAGGGAAGGAUAAAAUAAGGUGAAACACCUACUUUGUCCUCUGCACUGUAUUCAGUGGUCUUUAACUAUACCAUGUCAUUGAAUCCUCACAACAACCCUGGAGCAAACGGAUGAAGUGACUUUCUCUCAGAGACAUAUCUGAGACUGAAUUUGGACUUCAGAUCAUACUGACUUUCAGACUCAGUUCUCCAAAGAUUGUACAAGCCUUACUUCACUGUAACAAAGUACAAGAUUUUUGGGAUAAAAAAAUAUAUCCAUUUUGUAUGUAGCCAAGUCUUAGGGAGUUUGUGUUAUCUCCCUAGAGUCUGGAAGACAGGAUUUAUCUCUUAAAAUAUGGAUGGUAUCUUAGCUGCUUCCCCUUAGAAGACAGGAGGAGUGUUUCUGUGUCUUAUUGCUGGCAUACAAGGUAUCUCUCCCAUUGAUUUCUAGAGAUCAUUUCCUCCCAGAAAAAUAGAUGCCUCCUCGCAGAUGUAAACUUCCUCAUUCCUUCUUCUACACAUACUUCUGCAUCCCUCUCCCUCACAAAAGGAAUUACCAUGGAGACUCUUGCCUACAAAAAUUUCUGAAGGAAACAAGGCAAUGCCUUAGCUGUCAAUUUUUAGCUUUGUUGCAUCUUGCUUUCUAGAGUCCCCAAGUUGGGGUAACAAAAUUUACCGUGCUUUCUGGAGCCCCCAAGCCAGUCUGAUUAAAAUAUUGUGUCCUGCUUUCUAGAGCCCCCAAGUUGGGGUGACAAAACUUAUCAUGCUUUCUAGAGCCCCCACUCUCUGGUAGUUAAAAUAUGCUAUCUUAGUGGAGACAUGAUGAAGUGGGACUCUUGAGGAUGGAAUCUGUUUACUCCCAGUUCUUUCACCCUUAUAAUAACCUCAUACCCUUAUGUAACCAAAACAACACUGUGCAUGCACUAAGUGUAUACUGCACAUGUGGGACCACAUUAACAACUUAGCUAUUGUAAGUAGUUUGCCACCUGAUAUCAAUCUGCUUCAAUCACAACACAGGUUAUCAUUACCCCCUGACUUCUAAGGAAAGCUGAGUGCCCUUAGAGGAGAUGGGGAACCGAACCCAACAUUUAGCAGCUUCUAUCUGGGCUUAAGGUUCUUAUACCUCACCCAGAGUUCUCCCAGUGUCUCUGACCUUCUAUAUAUUGACCUUUUCUGUUUGCUUGUUUUUGUUUUAAUUGAAGCAGGCAUAUACCAGUGAUUAAAUCUAUCAGCAUGGGAGGAAUCACACAGGCAAGUUGUACUAUCAUAUAAGCAAUUAGUAAUACAACAAAAAAUAUGAACAAAAAUCUAUAAAGAUUUCCAUGAGUCCCAGAAGGAUGGUGCAGAAAAUAAAUAUCAAUUCAAAAUCACACAUACACCUCCUUCAGCAGCCAAGAGAUAUCCAAAGCCAAUCUAUUGUUAAACACUUUGUGUUAGGGAAUCCAAUGCUUUUUCCAGGUUUUGAAGUCCUCCAUCAUUCUUUUCAUAAUUCAGGGAAUCCAAUGAUUCCUGCAGGUUGUGAAGUCCUGCAUCAGUCUCACUGACAAUUAUUUUUGAUGUCCAUGAGUUAAUUGACAUGCACAUAGAGUUAACUGCCAGACUCUUUCAGUGGUGGGCACAGUCAGAGAUGGAACCACCCGAUGUUUCGUGGGUCUUCUCCUUCAUUUUGAGGGUCUUCUCUUUUUCUGUCUCUCUCGAAUGCACAAGGUGGAUAUGGCUUGUUGGCACCCAUCAGGUUCCUUUUCCAUCUGUAGAGAUACAAGCAAACCCUUUCCCACAAGCAGUUAACCUAUUGGGUCCUUUCCGUUCACCACUUUUUCAACUCUUCAUAUCACCUGGAGAUUAUCUAAAGAUACUGGAGCUGCUCACACUUACACUGCCCUUCCAGUGGGUUAUGAAACCUGUCUGCCAGAGCCAGUUCAUCUCCAUUAAAAAAAAAUUAAUCUAUAGAAUUAAGUUUAGAAGAUCUCUAGGGUUACCUGUGGCUCCCCCUUUCUUUUAUUUUGGAGCAUCUUGAUGUCUGUUUCUCCUCUCUACUAUUGCCUGUCCUUGAGUGGUGUGUGAAAUCUGAUACUGCACACAAAAGUGUGCAGAAUGUUUAGAAGUAUAGGCAGGUCCAUGAUCUUUUUAUUGCUUUUGGCCCACCCAUAAUUGCAAAAGCUUUUACAAGGAAUUCAGUGACCACUCGGGCUGUCUCUUUUGCUGCUGGUAUUGCAAAAGUAAAUCCUGAGAAGGCGUGUACUACAACAUAAGACCUGAAUAUUUUCAUUGGUUAAGGGCCUCUGUUCCACCCACACUAGUAUAUCAGUUUUCCAUUGAAUGGGAACAGGUGAGAGUGCUGGCAGGCCUUCACAGCAACCUUGCCUAAAAAGCUGAAGUACUUAAUUGUAAUCCUAACUAUUGUAAGAUAUCUCUUCCCCAGAGAUUGAUAAGAGAUUUUCCAUCUCAAAGGUGUAGCAUCAAGUUCAGCUGCUAUUGAUCCUCCUAUGCCAUACAUAUAGGUGUUUGUAGUAAUCUUUGGCCAGUGGCUGGGAUAUUAGCUACACAUCCCCCAGUUUCCCAAAUCAGUGCAUGUAUAGACACUUUUUUAAUCACACUCAAGUGGUGAAAUGGUCAAGCCUACUGUGAGUGGAGACAAGGGAUCUAUAGGCCAGACAGGGACAGGUUUCAGCUCUCUAGGGGAUAUCUCAGUGGUCCUAGAGGUAUACAGCUUUGUUCUUCCUAAUGGCAAUCCCUUUCCCCUAUCAUCUUGCUUAAAGACUCUCUGGGUGUUAUAGCAGUUCCCAUCAUGCCCAAGUGUUUUUUGCCUGUGGCCCUGGAGCCUAGCCCUCCUCUUGUGAUAAAGGCAUAGGGGGUGGACAAAACUGCUGCAUGGGUGGUGCUUAUGGUGUCAUUACCCUUCACACUCCUCCUCCUCCUCCCCCUCCCUCCUCCCAUGAAGGUGGGGUUGAGGGAGGAGGUUCAGGAGAUGGGGAAUACCCUAAGGGAACAUCCUCUGGUGUAGGCAGAAUUGAAAAUGAGCUUUGAAGGUGAAAAGCAAGCUUCAUCAGCAAGGUACUUAAACUACUUAAUUCUUUUUCUGCCCAAUAGGCCAUGGUACUUAAGAUAAGAAGGUAACUCUCUUAUGGUGAUAAGAGAGUUGGCCAUGUCCUGCAAAUCUAGAAUAGUAAUAAGCAAAAUAAAUAAAUCAGUAAAAUACUAAAAAAGACUUCCUUAGCUCCAUCCCAAGUUCUGUACUCUCCAAGGCUACAGACACCAACCCUCUGCUUGUUUUUCUCCUCAUACUUCCUGGUUUAACCCCCCAGGUUAAAAUCUUCCCUUGUUUUCCUUAAAAUCGAUUUUACUCCAUUGUACUCAGAUAGUUGUUCUCCCACUAACUUCCACAUCUAUGGCUCCAAACUCUCCUCCUUACAAAGCCACAGAGAUGAGCACUCCAGAGAAUCUGAGAACCCAGUGAUCUGCUUCUGAGUUACUAAUAAAUCUUACUUCUUUGUUAACCUAACUACACAUGCUUCAUACGUCCCUUUUUUUGGGGGGGCUCUUUUCUUAGUAUUUGCCCCAUUUGGGUUGAAAAACAAAAGUGACUAGAUAAGCUCUUACUGAUUCUUCCCUCUUGCCUAUUUUUAUACUUACCCAAUUUUCAGUUCACGGGUACUUCUCAUUAAACUCAACCAAGGGUCAGUUAAGCUGAUGUAUGCAGGACCUCACCUAGAGCCUCAUGUUUAGGUGCCAAAUGUUGUGUUCUGCUUUCUAGAGCCCCCAAGUUGGGGUGGUUAAAAUAUACCAUCUUAGUGGAGAAGUGAUGAGGUGGGACUUUUGAAGAUGGUGGGAAAAUGGAGUCUGUUUAUUCCCAGUUCUUUCACUCUUAUAUACCUCAUACCCUUAUGUCAUAAAAAUAACAUUGGCCAUGCGCUAAGUAUACACUGCACACAUAAGACCACAUGAAUAACUUGCUAUUGCAUGUAUAUUGCCACCUGGUAUCUAUCUUUGCCAAUCUGCUUCAAUCACAACACAGGUUGUCACCACCUCCUGAUUUCUCAGGAAAGCCAGAGCCCUUAGGGGAGAUAGGGAGCUGAAGCAGACAUUAUUAGUAGAUUCCCUCUGGGCUGAAGAGUCUUAUACCUUACCCAGAGUUCUCCCACUGUCUGUGACCCUCUACACAGCUCAUUCUGGGUGUGUUGAUAGCAAUUGUUUCCUUCCUGUCACUAUCACUAUCACUCUGUCCUCUCUCCCUCCUCUUCUCUCCCUUUUCCUCCCUUUCUCUCCUCUGUUUUCCUCUUUGCUCCUCCUCCUCCUCUUUCUUCUUCUCCCUCUUCCUUUUCCUUCUUGUUCUCCCUCCUCCUCUUCCUCUUUGUCCUUCUUCUUCUCCUUCUCUUUUUCCUCCUUUUCUUUCUCCUCCUACUCCUCCUCUUUGUCCUUUUUCUCCUUUUUCUCCUCCUCCUCCUCCUCUUCCACCUCUUCCUCUUUGUUCUCCUCCUCCUCCUCUUCUUUCUUCUCUCUCUUUCUCUCCCCUCUUUCCUCGUUCUCUCCUCCUUUCCUCUUCCUCCUUUCUCUUCUUUCUUAGGUAUGAGAGACAGCCAGGGCAAAUGUACAAGACAGAGGAAAGGGACGGUUUUGUCUAAAAUGCAGCAAGGAGGCUACUGUCACUGAAUCUUAGAGGAUGUUGAGAUGGGAUAGAAGGUGGAAGGAGCCUGAAAAGAGAGGAUAGGAUGAGGAGGGGCUUGGUUGGGGGGAGGUUUGGGGGUAGUAGUGGCAAUGUGAUCUGAUAGACCCUAGUCUUAUUUCUGCCACUUCCUAGAUCUAUCCCCUUUGGAGGGAUACUUUGCAGUACCUUUGGAGGUACUGCUGUAAAGUAGGGAGGAGUUCCCUUUCCCUGGAUCCACAGUUAGUGGAAAGGAAUGAGUAGUUGAUCAGUGGAAUAGGAUAGGUUCACAAGACACAACAAUCAGUGACUAUAAUAAUCUAGUGUUCGAGACAUCCAAACUUCUGGGAUAAGAACUCACUCUUUCAGAAUAAUUGUUAAGAUAACUGGAAAAUAAAAUGACAGAAAUUAAGCACUGACCAACAUCUAACACCUUAUGCCAAAAUGUCAAAAUGUGUUCAUGAUUUACAUAAAGAGGUGUGAUAUUAACAACUUAGAACAACAAAGGAUAGUGGACUUCUCUGAUCUGUGGAGAAGGAAGGAACGAAUGGUCAAAAAUAGCCACAAUCCAUUAUGAAAUGCAAAAUAGAGCAUUUUGAUUACAUUACGUUAAAAAGUUUGUGUCCAAACAAAAUCAAUACAGACAACAUCAGAUGGAAUCAGGAAAUUGGGAAAAAAUUUUUCCAUUCAAGGAUUCUGAAAAAGGUUUCAUUUCUUUUUUUUAAUUUUAAAUUUCUUUUUAUUAAUUUUAGCUUAGAGUGAUACAACUCUUUACAUAAUACAGUAAAAUUCUUAAAGAAGAUGAUUGCACAUGAAACUGCAAAUGUAUUAUGUACCAUUUUCUGUUCCAUAAAGAUUUCAUUUCUAAAAUGUAUAGCGAAUUGAAUCAAAUUUAUAUGAAUACAAGCUAUUCUCCAAUUAACAGAUGGUCAAAGGAUAUGAACAGACAAUUUUCAAAUGAAGCAAUCAAAACCACUUCUAAUAAAGGAGAGGAAGGGACUCACCUGUGCAAAUCUAUUUGUGGCAGCCCUUCUUGUGGUGGCAAGAAACUGGAAACUGUGUGGAUGCCCAUCAGUUGGAGAAUGGCUGAAUAAGUUAUGGUAUAUACAUGUUAUGGAAUAUCAUUGUUCUAUAAGAAAGGAGAUCAACAGGAUGACUUCAGAAAGAGUUGGAGAGAUUUAUGUGAAAUGAUGCUAAGUGAAGUGAGUACAACCAGGGAAACAUUGUAUACAGCAACAACCAGAUUACUCAGGAAUCAAUUCUGACGGAUGUGGCCCUUUUUAAUAGUGAGGUGUUUUGGGCCAGUUCCAAUGAUCUUCUGAUGAAGGGAGCCAUUUACACCCAGAGAGAGAACUGUGGGAACUGAGAGUGGAUCACAACAUAGCAUUUUCACUCUUUUUAUUAUUGUGUUUGUUUGCAUUUUAUUUUCUUUCUCAUUUUUCUUCCCUUUUGAUCUGAUUGUUUUUGUGCAUCAAGAUAAUUGUAUAAAAUAUGUAUGCAUAUAUACUAGAUUUAAUCUACAUUUUUUACAUGUUUAACAUAUAUUGGAUUACUUGACAUCUGGGGGGGGAUGUGGGGGAAAGGAGAGAAAUUUGGAACACAACAUUUUGCAAAAGUCAAUGUUGAAUAAUUGCCCAUACACAUGUUUUGAAGAAAAAAAGGUUUAAUUAAAAAGAUUUUUAAAAAAGAAAAAUAAUGAUGAAGACAAGGAUUUCUAUGACCUCCCCUAACUUUCUCUCAAACCAACAACUGAUUAAGUCUAAACUGGUUCGGAAUGACAGAAACCAUAAAUAUCUGGAGUACAACACAUUCCCAGAAGACCAUACCUUGGAACAGCUUCAGAACAGGUGUGUUCCAAACAACAGGGGGACAGUCUGCCAGCCUAGACUGCAGCACAGGGAGCCUGGAGCAAGGAUCUGGUUGAGGAGCCAGAAUGUUGCAGCAUCCACUGGGGAUUCUUCUGUGAAACUCUUAGGUUACCUUGUCCUGAUUACAAGUAGGUGUUAGCAGAUAUACUAUAAAACUACCCAAAAGUGAAUACAAAAGGCAAACUGUGAGCUGAUGAGCCUCAGAAGAACUUGGCACCUGGAUGAGAUUACCAACCAAGCAUUGGAAGUCAGUCAGAAACAACGGCCCCAGGCUAAACUAAAGCAGCUGUCACUUCCUUGCCUUAAGAGCAGAUCUCAACCUUUAAACAAAUGAAAUAGAGAAAGAAAGCUGACCAUAGCCAACUUUUAUGGAGAGAGAGAGAACAGACCUGAAACCCUGAGGUUCCUAAAGGUCAAUCAACCCCACAUGAAGUCCGCAAAUGAGAUAUAUGAGCUGGUCCUCAUUUCACAAGGCUUUCUUGGGAGAUUUCAAAAAAGAUCUUCAAAGAGAGAAGAAAAAAUGGGGAAAAGAAAUGAAAUAUUUGCAAGAGGAUAUAGAAAAGGAGAAACAGAAAUUUUCUGAAGAAAACUUCUUUAAAAAUUGGAUGAAAUAGGAAAAUUAUGUAACUCCCUACAAAACAGAUUUGUGGAAAUGGGAAAAUUAUGUACCUCCCUACAAAAUAGGUUUGAUGAAAUGGAAAAAUAUUUAUCUCCUUACAAAAUAGCUAUGAAAAAGAUACUAAUUUCUUGAAAAAUGGAAUUUGUAAAAUGAAAAAAAGACAAUGAUUAAAACAAUUCAAUUGGCCAAGUACAAAAGGACCUAAAAAAGGUAACUGAAGAACAUAAUAUACUAAAAAUUAGAAUUGAAUAAAUGAAAACGAAUAACUUAAGACUUCAAGAAUCAGUCAAACUAAACAAAAAAUAAGGAAAAUAGAAGAAAAUAUGACUUACCUCCCAGGAAAAACAACUGACCUGGAAAAUAGAUCUAUGAAAGACAAUCUUCCUGAAAGCCAUGAUGAAAAUAAAGAACCUAGACAUUACCUUACAGGAAAUCAUAAAUGAAAACUACCCUGAUGUCCUCAAAUUGGAGGGUAAAAAAUAGUUGUUGAAAGAAUUCCCUGAUCACCUGUUGAAAGAGACCCCAAAAUGAAAACUCCAAGGAAUAUUGUGGCUUAAUUUCAGAAUUAUCAGACAAAGGAAAAAUUUUGCAAGCAGCCAGAAAGAAGCAAUUCAAAUACAGAGGAGCCAAAAUCAGGAUUACCUAGGAACUUCUACCUUAAAGGCCUGGAAUUUGAUAGUCCAAAAGGCAAAAGAACUUGGAUUACAGCCAUAAGCUAUCCAGCUAAAAUGAGCAUUAUCUCACAGAGAAGAAGAUGGGCAUUCAAGGAUAAAGGUGAAUUUCAUCUAUGUCUGAUGAAAAGGCCAGAGCUGAACUAAAAAUUUGAUCUCCAAACACAGAACUCAAGAGAAUCUUAAAAAGGCAAAAAGGAAAGAACUAUUGAGAACUAUAUUUCUGGUAUGGGUAUGCUUAAGAGAGUGCGGGCAUAAUUUGAUUUUAUUAUAAUAUAAAAAAGGAACUAGAAGUGGAAAGAGGAUCACACUGGAAAAAGAGGGAAAAGGAGGUUAAAAUUUUUAUGGGAAAUUACAUCUCAUAAGGAGGCAAAGAAGACCUAUUAUAACUGAGGGAAAGAAGGGAGGGUGUUGAACAUGGUGUGAAUCACACUCUCAUCAGAUUUGUUUCAAAGAGAGACUACCAGACAUAUCUGUUUUCACAGAGAAAUUUGUCUCAUUUUAUAGGAAAGUGGGAGGGGAAAGGGAAAAGAAAAGGCAAGACUAAUCGAAGGAAAAACAGUAGUCAGGGAAAGGUGAAAAAAAGAGGGAGGGGCCCUAAAGGAGGUUGGCUGAGGGAGGGUGGUGAUAGGAAGCAAAAUAUGGGGGAAGAGAGAAGAGGGAAAGGAAAGAUAAAAGCAUAACUUAAGGUAAAUAAGUUGACAGGAAAUAGAGAAUUAGUUAUUUUAACUGUGAAUGUGAAUGGGAUGAACUCUCUCACAAAAUGGAAGUGGAUAGCAGAUUGGAUUAAAAGCCAGAAUCCAACAAUAUGUUGUUUACAAGAAACACAUUUAAAAGAUUGUAGGGAAAGGGCUGGAGCAGAAUUUAUUGUGCUUCAGAUGAAGUAAAAAAAGCAGCGAUAGCAAUCCUGAUCUCAGAUCAAGUAAAAGAUCUAAUUAGAAGAGAUAAGGAAGGACAGUAUAACUUGCUAAGGGUACCAUAGAUAAUGAAGUAAGAUCAAUACUAAACCUAUAUGCACCAAGUGGUAUGGCAUCCAAAUUCCUAGAGGGGAAGAUAAGAGAUGCAAGAAGAAAUAGACAGGAAAACUAGACUACUGGAGGAAUCUCAACCUUGCUCUCUCAGAACUAAAAUCGAAUAAAAAAUAAAUAACAAAGAAUUAAGGAUGUAAACAAUGUUAGAAAAGUUAAGUAUGAUAGACCUUUGGAGAAAAUUAAAUGGAGACAGGAGUUUGCUUUUUUUCUCAGAGGUUCAUAGAAUCUCUACAAAUAUGACCACAUAUUAGGACAUGAAAAUCUCAAAAUCAAAUGCAGAAAGGCAAAAAUAGUAAAUGCAUUUUUUUCAGUUCAUGAUGCAAUAAAAAUCAUAUGCAAUGGAAGGCCUGGGAAAAAUAAAUAAAAAAUUAAUUGGAAAUGAAACAAUCUAAUCCUAAACAAUGAAUGGGAGUAAGAUUCUUUAAAAAAAAAAAGCUAAGGUCUGCUUUUAGGGUAGAGGAAGUUUUCCAAGUUUCCUCUACAAACUGAAUCAUGGGGGUUUAGUUUUUCUUCAAAAUGAUAUUGUGAUUCUGAAAUUGUGGGAGAUCAUUAUUUUUGCUUUGUGCAUGAUUAAUCUGUUUAUUCUGGGUAUGAGAUCUUGGGAAUUUGAAUAUUGAACCAUUAAUAAACAAAAAAAUUUUUUUAAAGUGCUAUUUUAUUUGAUUUGGUUUAAAAAUAGCUUGUUAAAGCAAAGUUCUAAUAACUUAACUGAACAGGUCACAUAUCCUUCUAAUUAGUUGAAGUAUGUUACCUUCUAAAACAUACAUUGGGAAAUUUAUAAAUAUUUUAAGUUAUACUUUAAAAUUUUGUCAGCUGUUUCGAAUAUGUGUAAAGUUUUUGUAAAGUUAUUUAGCUGUUAACUAUAUUAUGAAUCUUAAAAUGUUUUGGGGAAAAAAAAGAAAACAAAAAAAAGGAAAAGUGAUUUUACAUACAUGGGACACAAAGGAUCGAUUUACUGAAACAAUUGACAGUUUGAAUGAAAUUUCUAAUUAGAACAUCACCUGGAAAAGUGUUGAUUUUAAGUAAUUUUAAGCACAGUCUAUAUUUAACUUUGAAAUGACUGUACAUUACAUGAUAUUCCUAUCUAUUUUUUUUGAUAGGUUAUGUUAUGUUUGUGGCUAUCGUGUGUGAAAAUUGUGGAAUUGAUAAUUGUGUAGGGAUUAUUGUCGAAAUUGUUAAGGGUUAUUGGUUUUGGAAGCAUGUGGGAAUCGGGAGGAGAGAGAUAUGGGAUGUGUUACAGGGGGAUAGUGCUGAUGAUUGAAAGGGAGAGAGCAAGGGGAGAGGAGUGAAGUGACAAAAAGAGGCAAGUCCCUUAAUGGAAGAAAUUUGUCAUUUAUUUGGAGAAAGAAAACACACUGGCUGGCUAAAUACUGAGAAGGACUUGGCUCUCUAAAAGUUUAUUAUGAAAAGUGGAGUAGUGAAGGUGAGAAUUUAACUCACUCCCCUCCUCCCUGGAUAUGGCUGCUUCUUAGAAGGGAAGACAAACUGUAGCUGGCUCUUUGCUGUAGAGAGCGUUUUAUUGUUUAAAGAUACAGCCUCCAUUACAUUGUGUUAAUUACUGAACGUUUUAUUUUUUCAAGUCUAUGGCUUCUUUCAGGCAAAGUCAUUUUUGAUGCUGUAGCAUAGAUUCCACAAGUUCUCUGAAAGUGAUUAUUUCUACCAAGGUCUCCAUCUGUUUUCAACAAAUUAUUUAAUGUUUAUUUAAGUGCAUAAUGGUCUCCUUUUUUAAUGACUAUGAUAACAAAUGUGAUCCAGCUUUUUUGAAGUACCUGGAGCAGGAUUUUUAUCUGAACUGAUGGGAUAUGCCCAAUUGUUUAUGGGAUUUUUUGUUUUAUAUACACCUUGUUCUACCUCUUACUUAUAUUUCCAAAGGUUUAUAGGGAAUCCUCAAUUGGAGAAGGAUGAAUUAAUAUAUUUUAGAAUGAAAAAGUUAUUAAUGUUAUUUCUGAUAAUGUUCUUUUAUGUGUGAUUAAGAUAUUCUGUAUGAGUUUUAAUUGAAUGUCUGGAGUCAUCUUAAACUGUACCCAUUAUUUAAAGGGACUCCUGAGAAUAAUAGAUUUUGCCUUUGUCCCUUUGUAUAUGUUUCUGCUAUAGACAAUAUGCAAUUUAGACUUAUUCUAUGUAUUGGGCAUUUUAAAAGCAAAAUGAUUUAUAUAAUGUUGACCUUAUAUAUAAGCCAUCUUCUUAGAUAUGAAUGAUGAGCUGUGAACUUUCUUGGAUGACUGUUACUUCUUUUAUCAAAAUAAGGUCAUGGUUAAUACCUAUUUAGGAUAUGACAUCCUUGAGAGCUGGAUCCAUCUGAAGCUUUGAUUAAUGAGAUUUGCUAUUGGAGGUAAAACCUCUUGGCACUGUAGCUAAUAUUAUUUGGGAGUUUUAAAUGCAGGUUUGAAUGUCUGAUAGAUCAUCAAGCCAGUGCUCCACCUCUGAAAGGAACUGGGACAAUUACCUGAAGUAUAACUGAGUUUAGGCUCCUUUAUCCUGUGUCAUGUAUGUGCUGAAGAAUCAGUUUUGACUGAUUAUAUUAUAUUGUAACCAUGUUCCUGCUUUUUCAUCCUAGAGCUGAUUUCUAUAAUCAGAACAAAUAGUCAAUGAAAACCCUUAAUAUACUUCAAUUAUGUAAUACCUUUGCUGUUUCCAAUGUGACUAUAUGUAGUCAUUAUAUCCUUAAUAAUUAGGUGAAUGAGUAUUUCACCUAGUCAUCCAUCAGUUAGUAGAUAUGUGUUCUGUAGCUAAUAAGGACCUUAAAGAUUUCUAAAAUAAUGUAAGACUAAUUGACAUGAUUGUUUGUGAGACCUCACUGGUAUUUUGUUUAUUUACAGUUGACACAUCUUUAACAUUUGUCUGUCCUGUGAGACAAGCAUGUUUCCCUAUAUGGGAAGCUGCUGGUCAAUCUAUAUUGGCCUCUCCACAUCUUGCAGCAGUCCUUGUGGGCCAGUCUUUAUUGUUAGAUUUUUUUUUUAUUCUAGAUUUUGGUCAAGUUACAGCUGUAUUGACCUGCUUCAAGACCUGGAUCAACCCAUCAGAUGCUUCAAUGCAUUCUAGUACACCACCCCAAGAAAUAGGAAUCUGAAUGGAUUUUUCAAGUCUACGCCCAUUCUCAGCAGGAAGUAGUUUCUGAAGAUGAGACCAUCCCCCUUGUUCCCAAUGGACUUUGAGCCCCAUUGAUUUGGGGGGAACUGGGACUGAUUGAUGAAUGACUGCCAAAUUCUGACUGGGUCUCCUGUUGCAAUGUUUUUAGGAUUUAGUAUGAAAAUAUUGGGUUAAAAUUUGAGUAACUGUUGCUGAAAAGGAUUCUUAUAGGCAUGUAUUUGCAUUAUCUAAUUGAACACAAUGUUCCUUUCAGAACAUGUAAUUAAUUAUUUGAGGGAUUUUUACAUAAGUACUGGAGCAGCCACCCUUAUUGUACUAGUGUAUUAUGUAUAAGAACUUGAAUUCAUUUUCAGGAUUAUAUGUGAGAUGACUACUUGACAAUUGGAGCCCUAUCUACUUCCCCUUAGAUGAUGGCUUUGAUAAAAACAAAAGGAUGUGUAUGGAAUAGAGAGAAGGUGAAGAACCUUCAGGAAUGUAUGAAUUCUUUUUUCUGUAUUUUAUUUUCAUUAUUUCUAUGUUUCCCCUAUGACCUGUAUAAUAUGUGAAGGCUCAUAUUUACUUGAGCCUUGGCCAGUUAGAAACAUAUUUACUUAACCUGGGCUGAUGACAUUAAUAGUAUUGACAUUUAUUGAUAUUUAGUCUAUUAGCUGGAACAUUGUCUGCUUGAUUAAGUCUGAAGGCCUGACUUUGUUUCCUAGAAAUCAGGAGAUUUUAGGGAAACAGAAACCUUCCACUCCAAUCUCUCCAAAUAGCAACAACCAAUUAGAUGCCUCCCUCUCCCCUCCCCUUCUCAAUGCUCUCUUACUUGUGAUGUAAUUUCUUGUAUAAAAGCUGUGUAUCUUUACUACUUCUUUAGCCCUCCUACUGCGAGCUUAUCUUAUCUUAUCUUGGGAUGGGAUGGCUCAUUCUCCAGAGGUUUUCAAUAAACAACUUUUCUGCCUUCUACUGAGUGAUCUCUGAGUAGUCAUUUUGGGUAAGGGUCUUCCUCAUCCCUCACAGUUGGGGGGCUCAUCUGGGAUGGGGUUUUUGGGGGAGAUGGCUGUGUGCAUCCCAGACAGGGACAGGCGCCCAAGGAGUAGUUUUCUCCAUGGUCUCUGGCUCUGGAUGAGCAGCCUCUCUCCCCUCUUAGACAAUGACCUGAGGCAGGGAUACUCAGUGAAACGCAGAAUUGAAGAUUGAAGGAAGUAGAGUCCUGAUGGCUGGCAUUUGCACCCUGAAAAGAAACACGUGUUCUUAAG
ensembl:lncRNA